CGUGAGGAACCUGCCUUGGAGAGGGGAAUAACACUCCGAAAGGAGUGCUAAUACCGCAUAAUGCAGUUGGGUCGCAUGGCUCUGACUGUCAAAGAUUUAUCGCUCUGAGAUGGCCUCGCGUCUGAUUAGCUAGUAGGCGGGGUAACGGCCCACCUAGGCGACGAUCAGUAGCCGGACUGAGAGGUUGACCGGCCACAUUGGGACUGAGACACGGCCCAG
rnacentral:rRNA from 1 species